ACUGUUUUUUUUCCACUGCAUGCUAACAAAAUACAUCUUUAGAAAUAUGCUAGCUACCUUGGGCUUUUAAAAUGAUAGAUCCCAAAAGACAGACAAAUUGAAUAUGGAAGGAUUAGACUAUGAGAUUUACUUCUGCAGCAUUGCAUCCAAGCAAUUGUCAUUUUUCGAGUAGAUAUGUCAGAUUGCAUAGAGUUGGCUGAAAUUCAAAGUUUCUGUUUUGACAUUUCAGGUUUUGAGCAAGACCAAAAAUGCACAAAGGGGAGAAUUUUAUAAAAUGUUUGUGUCAAUUUAACGGGCUCUUAUUAAGUUUCAUAUAAAACUUAAGAGAUCACGCAUCCCUCCCUCCCAUACUGUGUGCACACAGGUAGAGAUGGCCCCAUAAUGACAUUGCCAUUUCUUUCCCUUGAUGUAGCAGCUGCUUACAUCUAUGUUGAUGCCAUCUUAAGGUAUUUAAGCGGAUCCCUUCUGCUAGAUGCUGGCAUCAGUAGAAAGGGCUGGGUUCAGUUUUCUAAGAUCGUCCUUAAAACCUUAACAACCGGCUUUAGUCGCCUCCCAGAAAUCUAUGAAUCGAUAUCUAUCACCCAGGGUGUGUCAUAUUAUUAAUUUAGAGGGAAUAAAUCAGCCAAAGGUAUUAACCAAGUCACUGUCCAACAUUUAACAGUGUUAAACAAGGCCCAGAGCCUGGUAUACAGAGACCUUGCCUGCUUAAUACCAGGGUGAACAUAUUAUCAAAUAUCCUUUUCUCCUUUUAUUAAAUGCAAGGAAAAAUAGUUAAACAAUUUGAAAUGUAAAGAAUGAAAUAAGGCUUUCAUUUUAAUAGCAUCCCUUGUUCCCUUUCCCUUUAUCUGGGGAGAAUUUUUAGAAGGAAACCUCUCUGGUUUGGCAGUCACUGGGAGGUCUCAAAAAGGGUAAUAACUGUUUUUUUGCGGGGGCAGGAAGAGGAGUUAGUUGAUAUAUGCUAGAGCUGCUGCUGUUAAAUUCUAAUUGUGUUUCAUUUUAGGAUUGAGCUGGAGCUCAUAGGGGUGGUGAUGAUUCUGGAUGCCUGCCUCUGUGCCAGUCUGGUCAGGACAUCAGUCUAGGUCAUGACAAGGAAGGCCUGGGGUCCCAGGAACCAGUUGGGACAGCAGAAUGAAGAUCAAGAAGAUUGGCCCAUGCAAUCUCAGAAGAUGCUGAGCAGGUUUUCAAUGAUUUCACGAAAGUUAAUAUAAAAGCAGACUUCUGCAGGCAUUCCAUUCUGAAGAGAAUGAGGAAAUGGUGGUGCUACCUAUCAUCUUGCUGCCAGGUGCAGCUUCCUGUCCUCCUGCAGUUGCUUCUGGGAUCUGAACCCUUAGACAUAGUCUGCAGACCCGCUGAGGUCCAUGGACCAGAGAUUGAAAGCCACUGCUGUUGUUAGUUGUUCCAGUUUGUUGAGGGAAAAGGACAUUAUUAUCUGUUAGCAAGUUAUAAUUGAUGUAAAGCUGAAUUGUUAUCAGCCUACGUUCUGUAAAUUCCCCUUACGAUUCCCCCUUCCUGAAUGAAUGCAUGGUGUGUGGGAAAGAGACAUGGAGUGGGUGAUGAACUUUUACUCACCUGAACUUGAGUGCACACAGCCCAGAGAGGACAGUGAGGAAGGCCUAUAGACCCAGAAGCUGCACAUGGCCUGUAACAUCAUUGAUUCAACAAAGAGAGAGAGAACCUGAAAGAGGAUCACCAAGCAGGACCUCCCGGGGAUGCCCUCUGCUUGGAUUGCCCAACCAGCGAACCGGUUCCAGAUACCAACAGCAUGAACCUCAUCAUGAACUCCUUCUGGUGCCUGGUGCUCAGCCUGCAUUUCAUAGGACUGUAAGUGUGAUUGCAGAUAGUGAGAGUGAGUUUUCCCCUUUCCCCUCCUUCCAGAGUUGAUUAAAGCAAUUAAAGCCAUUUGUACUCAUUACCUGGUGGUCCCAAUCCUUGUUAGGCCAAGGUUAAUUGCACACUUGCAACACAGUUCGGUUGUGAAGCUUCAGGGGGUAGCUGAGUUAGUCUGUUACAGAAAAAAAAAACAAAUGGUCUGGUAGCACUUGAUAGACUAACAAAACAUGUAGAUGGUAUCAUAAGCUUUUGUGGGCACAGCCCAUCUCUGUUCAUGCUUAGAGCUGCGUCUUCAAUGGAGUAGAAUUCAAUGAAUCUGGGUCUAUGCUUUCACUGAUUGCUAGCUAUCAGUGGGUUUUGAAUAAGCCCCAAACACCUAAAGAUGAUAAAUCUCUGAAACUCAUAACACAGAAACAUGAGUUUUUGUCUGUGUAGCCACUAGACUUCACUGGACAACAUGAAAUUAGAAAGAAAUAAAAUGUGAAAUACAGAGACCUGAAAUAAUCUUGAACAGAAGACUAAAUCAUGAUGGUAAAGAGUGUAACGGGGAGCUGGCUGCAGUCAGUGUAGCUAUGGAGAGAGCUGUAGCAUCUGAAGGCCUCAGAUUUUGCUUUCAGUGCUCAAGAUUUUAAGAGAUUCAUUCAGAUGGAUUCUGGAUUAUAAUAAGAAAAAGAUAGGAGGAAUCAAAUCUGAGAGAUGAGUGAGGAAACGUGGUCAGGUCUUGUUUCUCUGAAGCCUGCCCCAAACUAGUGCUGUCAGUCUCUUUUCUGGAGACUGCUAUGCUUGUUCUUAACGUCAACACAAAUUGUUUUUUAUGACAAGAAAGUUUAAAGCCUCAGAACAUGAUUUGUUUUAUGUGACAUGGUGCAGCUAACCAUCAAAUGAUACCUUUCCAUCUAUGUUUUAAAUCCAACCCUUCUAACUGACAUGCUGAAUGACACACAUGGAUGCAACCUCUGUCAACUGACCUCAAUACACUUCCCACAGUGUGUGAGGUUACAGAAUUUCUGAUAAGCACGUCUAAAAAUUAUGAGACAACAUAAUAAGACUACAAAAUUGAAUCUUCAAUUACCCAAACAUGGGGCUGCUAAUAAAAUUUGCCCACUAAUUUAUUUUUUAUUUUUUCACAGGCUAAAAAUAAGCUUGAUUAAUGAAGAAUUUUUGGAAUCUUCAGAAGGCUUUUACUAUACAACCUUGUUUUCUAGCAGAAGGAAACCAGCUGUAGUAAGUCUUCAACACUGUGCAUAUAAAGAAAACAACAAAUGAACAUUUUUGUUUAAUUAUGCUAUUUAUUUUUUGACUUGUCAUUUAACAGUGGAAAAGGCUACAGGUGAAAAGUCAGGAGAAAAUGAAAUAUCUUAUAUGGCAAGUUUCUUGCUCUUUUGUUUGAACUUCUUAACUUUAACAGGUUUUGAUUUGAAAUGGUGUUUUGAUGUCAAA